GCUCUGAUAGUUCAGUUGGUUAGAACAGGCGACCGAUAAUCGCCAAACACUGGUUCGAGUCCAGUUCGGAGUACCA
rnacentral:tRNA from 5 species